rfam:Pseudomonas monteilii strain TSDA-ARS-TSMARC-56711, complete genome.
UUGGACCCCGCGUGCGGGAUCCGUUUAUCAGGAGAAGCCACAUGGCCCUCAGCGUCGAAGAAAAAGCUCAGAUCGUUGCAGACUAUCAGCAAGCCGCC